rnacentral:rRNA from 1 species
CCUACGGGAGGCAGUAGUGGGGAAUAUUGGACAAUGGGGGCAACCCUGAUCCAGCUAUGCCGCGUGUGUGAAGAAGGCCCUCGGGUUGUAAAGCACUUUCAGUGAGGAAGAACGCCUGGUGGUUAAUACCCAUCAGGAAAGACAUCACUCACAGAAGAAGCACCGGCUAACUCCGUGCCAGCAGCCGCGGUAAUACGGAGGGUGCGAGCGUUAAUCGGAAUUACUGGGCGUAAAGCGCGCGUAGGUGGCUUGAUAAGCCGGUUGUGAAAGCCCCGGGCUCAACCUGGGAACGGCAUCCGGAACUGUCAAGCUAGAGUGCAGGAGAGGAAGGUAGAAUUCCCGGUGUAGCGGUGAAAUGCGUAGAGAUCGGGAGGAAUACCAGUGGCGAAGGCGGCCUUCUGGACUGACACUGACACUGAGGUGCGAAAGCGUGGGUAGCAAACAGGAUUAGAUACCCGAGUAGUC